GACGAACGCUGGCGGCGUGCUUAACACAUGCAAGUCGAACGGUAAGGCCCUUCGGGGUACACGAGUGGCGAACGGGUGAGUAACACGUGGGUGAUCUGCCCUGCACUUCGGGAUAAGCCUGGGAAACUGGGUCUAAUACCGGAUAGGACCAUGGACUUCACGGUUUGUGGUGGAAAGCUUUUGCGGUGUGGGAUGGGCCCGCGGCCUAUCAGCUUGUUGGUGGGGUAAUGGCCUACCAAGGCGACGACGGGUAGCCGGCCUGAGAGGGUGUCCGGCCACACUGGGACUGAGAUACGGCCCAGACUCCUACGGGAGGCAGCAGUGGGGAAUAUUGCACAAUGGGCGCAAGCCUGAUGCAGCGACGCCGCGUGAGGGAUGACGGCCUCGGGUUGUAACCUCUUUCAAUAGGGACGAAGCGCAAGUGACGGUACCUAUAGAAGAAGCACCGGCCAACUACGUAGCCAGCAGCCGCGGUAAU
rnacentral:rRNA from 1 species